AUCAUUUCAAUAUUGUCACCUGAGUCCAGAUUCUCCUAGAGUAUUUGCUGAUUGCUUUUUAGGUGACCUAUAUACAAAGUUAUAAAAUAAUAUGAGUAUUUACUACUUUUUUGUUAAUGUUCAUCUUUGAACCUUGAGUCAUCUUAGAAUAUGUUUAAUUGGGCUGAGUGUGAGCCACUGUGCCCAGCUGAGAUAAGCACAUUUCACUGGAUUCCUUUAUUUAGUUCUUU
rnacentral:lncRNA from 1 species